AUUCCCUCGAUCUCUCGCUUCCUCAAUCACGCAAGCCGCUACAAAGCCACCAACCCUAGCGUCUAGCGGCGUGACCGGCGACGGCGGGCCGGCGGCGACAGCGAGCAGCAUGGCGCAGGCAGAGGCUGUGCACGGGCAGGCAGAGACAGGCGGCGGCGCAGCGCCGUAGCGGCGCACCGGGCGACGAGGGGCGAGCAGCAGGCAGUGAGGGGCAAGCAGCUAGCAGAUCUGGCUAUCAGGUCAUCCAUCCAUCAAAGGGCAUCAGGGAGCGUCGCAGCGGGGGCAAGCAGCAGCAGCUAGCAGAGCAAGCGUCAAGCCGCUAGCGGUAUGAAGGAGAAGACACCAACCAAAUAGGCUCGAAGUCUCGCGAGCGGGCUGGACGACAUGCACUGAAGAACGAGGUAGAACACGCCUUUGUAUCACCGCUGGUAGUGAAGUGCUCGUCGGAGCUAGCGUCCCAGCUGCUGCCUGCACGCCUCUCAGGCCGACCGACAUCGUCCGGCAGCAAGUCGAGAAGCUGUCGGACGUGGUGCCUUGCUGCAUUCUUUUUCAUUGUAACUAUUUUAUUCCUUUGGAAGUUAAUGUCACAAGUUAUUCAGAGUGAGUAUUCGAGUAAUUGUUUUAUUCUGUAACAUGAUUGCUGGAAUGAAGGGUAAAAUACUAAAAUGUUUUUCUGUUGUCUUGC